rnacentral:rRNA from 1 species
GUGCCAGCAGCCGCGGUAAUACAGAGGGUGCGAGCGUUAAUCGGAUUUACUGGGCGUAAAGCGUGCGUAGGCGGCUAAUUAAGUCAAAUGUGAAAUCCCCGAGCUUAACUUGGGAAUUGCAUUCGAUACUGGUUAGCUAGAGUAUGGGAGAGGAUGGUAGAAUUCCAGGUGUAGCGGUGAAAUGCGUAGAGAUCUGGAGGAAUACCGAUGGCGAAGGCAGCCAUCUGGCCUAAUACUGACGCUGAGGUACGAAAGCAUGGGGAGCAAACAGGAUUAGAUACCCUGGUAGUCCAUGCCGUAAACGAUGUCUACUAGCCGUUGGGGCCUUUGAGGCUUUAGUGGCGCAGCUAACGCGAUAAGUAGACCGCCUGGGGAGUACGGUCGCAAGACUAAAACUCAAAUGAAUUGACGGGGGCCCGCACAAGCGGUGGAGCAUGUGGUUUAAUUCGAUGCAACGCGAAGAACCUUACCUGGCCUUGACAUAGUAGAAACUUUCCAGAGAUGGAUUGGUGCCUUCGGGAAUCUACAUACAGGUGCUGCAUGGCUGUCGUCAGCUCGUGUUGUGAAAUGUUGGGUUAAGUCCCGCAACGAGCGCAACCCUUAUCCUUUGUUGCCAGCGGUUCGGCCGGGAACUCAAAGGAGACUGCCAGUGAUAAACUGGAGGAAGGUGGGGAUGACGUCAAGUCAUCAUGGCCCUUACGAGUAGGGCUACACACGUGCUACAAUGGCGCAUACAAAGAGAAGCGAACUCGCGAGAGCAAGCGGACCUCAUAAAGUGCGUCGUAGUCCGGAUUGGAGUCUGCAACUCGACUCCAUGAAGUCGGAAUCGCUAGUAAUCGUAGAUCAGAAUGCUACGGUGAAUACGUUCCCGGGCCUUGUACACACCGCCCGU